rnacentral:rRNA from 1 species
AAUAAGUGCACAUGGUGGAUGCCUUGGCGAUUACAGGCGAUGAAGGACGUAGUAGCUUGCGAUAAGCUGCGGGGAGUGAGCAAACACACUUUGAUCCGCAGAUUUCCGAAUGGGGAAACCCGGCCUUUUAGGUCAUUGCAUGCUGAAUACAUAGGUAUGCAAAGCGAACGCGGCGAACUGAAACAUCUAAGUAGCUGCAGGAAAAGAAAUCAACCGAGAUUCCCAAAGUAGUGGCGAGCGAAAUGGGAUGAGCCUGCAUGAUUUAGCACGACGCAUAGUGGAACAGCUUGGAAACGCUGGCCAUAGAGGGUGAUAGCCCCUUACACGAAAUGCGAUGUGUGGAACUAAGUAUGCGACAAGUAGGGCGGGACACGAGAAAUCCUGUCUGAAUAUGGGGGGACCAUCCUCCAAGGCUAAAUACUCGUAAUCGACCGAUAGUGAACCAGUACCGUGAGGGAAAGGCGAAAAGAACCCCGGGAGGGGAGUGAAAUAGAUCCUGAAACCGUGUGCAUACAAACAGUAGGAGCGGACUUGUUCCGUGACUGCGUACCUUUUGUAUAAUGGGUCAGCGACUUACAUUCAGUGGCAAGGUUAACCAUAUAGGGAAGCCGUAGAGAAAUCGAGUCCGAACAGGGCGACAGUCGCUGGGUGUAGACCCGAAACCAAGUGAUCUAUCCAUGGCCAGGAUGAAGGUAGGGUAACACCUGCUGGAGGUCCGAACCGACUAGUGUUGCAAAACUAGCGGAUGAGCUGUGGAUAGGGGUGAAAGGCCAAUCAAACUUCGUGAUAGCUGGUUCUCCCCGAAAUGCAUUUAGGUGCAGCGUUGCGUGUUUCUUGCCGGAGGUAGAGCUACUGGAUGGCCGAUGGGCCCUACAAGGUUACUGACGUCAGCCAAACUCCGAAUGCCGGUAAGUGAGAGCGCAGCAGUGAGACUGUGGGGGAUAAGCUUCAUAGUCGAGAGGGAAACAACCCAGACCACCAACUAAGGUCCCUAAGCGCGUGCUAAGUGGGAAAGGAUGUGGAGUUGCUUAGACAACCAGGAGGUUGGCUUAGAAGCAGCCACCCU